AAGGAUCAUUAAAUAAUCAAUAAUUUUGGCUUGUCCAUCAUUAUCUAUUUACUGUGAACUGUAUUAUUACUUGACGCUUGAGGGAUGUUCCAAUGCUAUAAGGAUAGGCACUGGAAAUGUUAACCGAGUCAUAAUCAAGCUUAGGCUUGGUAUCCUAUUAUUAUUUACCAAAAGAAUUCAGAAUUAAUAUUGUAACAUAGACGUAAAAAAUCUAUAAAACAACUUUUAACAACGGAUCUCUUGGUUCUCGCAUCGAUGAAGAACGUAGCAAAGUGCGAUAACUAGUGUGAAUUGCAUAUUCAGUGAAUCAUCGAGUCUUUGAACGCAACUUGCGCUCAUUGGUAUUCCAAUGAGCACGCCUGUUUCAGUAUCAAAACAAACCCUCUAUCCAACUUUUGUUGAAUAGGAUGACUGAGAGUCUCUUGAUCUAUUCUGAUCUUGAACCUCUUGAAAUAUACAAAGGCCUGAUCUUGUUUGAAUGCCUGAACUUUUUUUUAAUAUAAAGAGAAGCUCUUGCGAUAAAACUGUGCUGGGGCCUCCCAAAUAACACAUCUUUAAAUUUGAUCU
rnacentral:rRNA from 1 species